AGAGCAAGUGUCUUCUUCAAGCGUGGAGUUGGUAAAAUUGGGAUAUGGGUAUUUGAGAGAAUGCUGUUGAGAACAAGUGUAGAAACUGAGUCCUGCCGUGUGAGGAACUCGAUAUCCAUAGCACGAUGGCUGGGACCAUUUCUUCUGAGCCCAUUGUCCAGGAAGAGCACAGUGUUUUCCGAUUUAGGGUUUCCCUCGUUUGGAGAAAAAGCGAAAGGUAAUGACAGGAAGCA
rnacentral:misc_RNA from 1 species